AACGAACGCUGGCGGCAGGCCCAACACAUGCAAGUCGAGCGCCCGCAAGGGAGCGGCGGACGGGUGAGUAACGCGUGGGAACGUGCCCUUUGCUACGGAAUAGCCUCGGGAAACUGAGAGUAAUACCGUAUGUGCCCUUCGGGGGAAAGAUUUAUCGGCAAAGGAUCGGCCCGCGUUGGAUUAGGUAGUUGGUGGGGUAAUGGCCUACCAAGCCGACGAUCCAUAGCUGGUUUGAGAGGAUGAUCAGCCACACUGGGACUGAGACACGGCCCAGACUCCUACGGGAGGCAGCAGUGGGGAAUCUUAGACAAUGGGCGCAAGCCUGAUCUAGCCAUGCCGCGUGAGCGAUGAAGGCCUUAGGGUUGUAAAGCUCUUUCGUGGGGGAAGAUAAUGACGGUACCCCAAGAAGAAGCCCCGGCUAACUCCGUGCCAGCAGCCGCCGUAAUAC
rnacentral:rRNA from 1 species